rnacentral:tRNA from 1 species
UGCGGUGGUCGAGUGGAAGCACUCUGGUCUACCAUUCCAGAAGUCCCCGGUUCAUUUCCUGGCCGGUAG